GCUCUUCCCUGCAUAACUUUACAACUGACAGUACUCGAUCCUCUUGAAUGCAAAGGCUGUCAGCACCAUGCCUUACAGUUUACAAAAUUAAAUCAUAACUGUUACAGAAAUGCCCCUAAUUUUCCUCUAGGCUUAGGCUCUGCUCCUUAAAUUUCUUUUGAGAACUACCAGGAUGGAGGGAUACGAAUGGUUUGUCGAUCAGCAGGGUGGUUCCCUGAGCCCAGAGUGCUGUGGAGAGACCAAAGUGGACAGAAUUUAACACCACUUUCUGGAACCAGCUCCAAGGGGAAGGACGGCCUGUUUGAAAUAGAAAACUCUAUCAUUAUAUAUGAACAUUCGCACCAGAACUUGUCCUGUUGGAUCAAAAAUAACUUACUCAAUCAAGUGAAGGAGUUGGCAGUUUUUAUAUCAGAUCCCUUUUUCCCAAAGGUGAAUCCCUGGAUGGCGGCACUGUGUGUGAUGCUAGUGGUUUUAUUCGGCUUCAUUCUCCUGACUGUUUAUCUCCUCAAGAUAAAAUGUAAGUUUUCUAAGGCUUGUUAUUGUCUGUUUAGUAAGGGAGUUUUCUUCUAAUACUUUAAUCUAACUUAUAUGGGAAAUAAUGCCCAUUAAGAAAUAGUGAAACCAGCUUUACCACGUGCAUAAUACAAAUGUUUCAGA